UUUCUCUGUAAGUGGAACCAUCGAUGGUUCCUUUUUUUUUUUUUUCUUCUUCUUCUUCUUUCUUCCUUCUACUGAUCUCUCUCUUGAUGGCCGCCGGCAGGGGCAGGUGGUUGGGGGUCGCGCAGACCAGUCGAGUCCACUCCCAAAACUCACCUCUUAACUCAUUACACCCUCUCUUCCUCACCUCCAUUCUCACAUUUCUCCAAUGGCGGCCAGAAAACUUGCUGGAUUUCUGGUACUGGCUUUGGUGAUUACGCUCAUCGAUCUGCUGCUUCUCAGCUUUUCACUCCCGUCGAUGGCUCCUUUCCCAGGUCAAUUUCAGCACUCUUUAAUCUUAAUUUUGUUUCUAUGGUCUGUUAAUACUGUUUCGUAAAAAUGGAAAAUUUUGAACGUUCAAUUUGAAUUAAACAAAAAUAAAAAGACUUUCUUUAUGUACGGGCUUAAGUCGUAAGUUUAUUCAGUUCAAUUUUUGCUUUGAAUGUUUCAGGGUAGUAAUUUGGCAUCUAAUUCUCCUCUGUUGCUGAUAAAUUGUUAUGCUUUUGUUUAUAGGGUUAGGGUUUUUUUUGUUAAGAAGAAGAAGAAGAGAGAGAGAUCAGUAGAAGGAAGAAAGAAGAAGAAGAAAAAAAAAAAAAAAAGGAA